UGGGCUGUGUGCCUUCAGCAACUACGAGUGAUCACUCGUAGACCCUUUCGCCUCCAUCUUUGUUGGGCCAUUGCCCGUUCCGUCGGCCUUGUCAGCCCUUGCUCAGACUGCUGGGGGCCCAGAGGGUUUGUACAAUUUCUAAUGGUGACCAACAUGAAAAGAAAGCUAGUCUAAGAAGCCUUCCCAACUUGGGGGUGCCUCUAGCUCAAGACCAUCCCAUCCAAUCUAUCUUCUGCAGUAAGUGAAGAACAGAAGACAAGGAAGUAAAGAAGGAAGUCAAGUUAGGAAGGACAGCUGAGCACCAGAGAGAGGGCACUACAUGGAGAAAGAGGUAUCUUUUCAGUGCCUCAGAAUGAUGCCGCAUUGGAAUAAUUGUGGGGGAAAUAGUGGCUGGCAGCUGCUAAGAGGAGUACCAUUGCUAUCACCCAUGGAUCUGUAAAGAUAUGUGCACCUGAUGUAAGUCUAAGCCUUCAUUUUGUGAAAAAUACAGGAAAAGGUCAUCUUGCUUCACAGUGUGCAGGUCUUGGAAAAUAUGAAAUUCAAACACUGAGUGGUUCUGGACCUUUUCCAUAAAAGUGUCAGGAGAAAGCUGUGGCCUUUAAUGAUCACAGGCAUCUAUGCUCAAUUGAGUGUGACUAGAUGAAGCCAGAAUUCAAACUGAAUCUCCUCAGUGAAUUGUCUACUGAUUGAGAUGUAGCUCAGCAAAAAGAAGAAGAAAAAGAAAUGUUCCCAAGAGAACCAAUCUGUAUUGAGACAGCAAGUGUGAAACCUGAUUUGAGGCUAGUAGUAUUCUUCCGUCAAGACAAGCUGUGGAAUUGGAAAAGAAGUAGGAAACAAGGUAAUUGUUUUAGGUUAAGGUAGUUCUAUCUAUUGCCUGUCGAAAUACUCUUAAAGAGAAAUAUUAUUGCAACCUGGACCUAUGCAUGCAUACUCUGAAGUAACUCACACUGAUUUCUAUUCAGGUCCUACUUCCAAUAAGUGUAUAUAUAAUUGCAACAUUAAUAUCGUAUCCUAUUCAAGAACACAUCCGUUAUGUCUGAAAAUUGAUGUUCUUGUAAACUUCCCUGACCUUAAGGACCCCUCUCCUGUAUGUUCCUCUUUAUCCUCUUAGAUCAUCAGGAAAACAUUUCUGUAUUUUAAAACAAUUUCUUCUGGCUGACUUGUGCAUUGUAACAUUUUUAGCUUAUCACUGUUCUAGUCUAGCUGGCUUUUUUGUGUUUUAAGGGGUUUUUAAAUGUUUUAUGAACACUGUUUUGUUGGUGUUUUGUAUUUUAUUAUUCUUGUAUGUCAGCUGAACGCUAAUUUGGCAGAGAGUACAACUUAUAAAUAACUGAAAUAAAUAAAUACAAGCUUGUA